GAAAACGGGUGGUAAUGCCGGAUGCUCCGGUUGGAUGCAUGUCCUUCCGGGAAAGAUUCUAUCGGUAUGGGAUGGGGUCGCGUCCUAUCAGCUUGAUGGCGGGGUAACGGCCCACCAUGGCUUCGACGGGUAGCCGGCCUGAGAGGGCGACCGGCCACAUUGGGACUGAGAUACGGCCCAGACUCCUACGGGAGGCAGCAGUGGGGAAUAUUGCACAAUGGGCGCAAGCCUGAUGCAGCGACGCCGCGUGCGGGAUGGAGGCCUUCGGGUUGUAAACCGCUUUUGAUCGGGAGCAAGCCCUUCGGGGUGAGUGUACCUUUCGAAUAAGCACCGGCUAACUACGUGCCAGCAGCCGCGGUAAUACGUAGGGUGCAAGCGUUAUCCGGAAUUAUUGGGCGUAAAGGGCUCGUAGGCGGUUCGUCGCGUCCGGUGUGAAAGCCCAUCGCUUAACGGUGGGUCUGCGCCGGGUACGGGCGGGCUGGAGUGCGGUAGGGGAGACUGGAAUUCCCGGUGUAACGGUGGAAUGUGUAGAUAUCGGGAAAGAACACCA
rnacentral:rRNA from 1 species